rnacentral:rRNA from 1 species
AUUGAACGCUGGCGGCAUGCCUAACACAUGCAAGUCGAACGGGUUGUAGCAAUACAACUAGUGGCGGACGGGUGAGGAAUACAUAGGAAUUUGCCUUUAGGUGGGGGAUAGCCCGGGGAAACUCGGAGUAAUACCGCAUGAUGUCGCAAGACCAAAGCCGGGGAUCGCAAGACCUGGCGCCUUUAGAGAAGCCUAUGUCUGAUUAGCUAGUUGGUAGGGUAAUGGCCUACCAAGGCGACGAUCAGUAACUGGUCUGAGAGGACGAUCAGUCACACCGGAACUGAGACACGGUCCGGACUCCUACGGGAGGCAGCAGUGGGGAAUUUUGGACAAUGGGCGCAAGCCUGAUCCAGCCAUGCCGCGUGCGGGAAGAAGGCC